AACGUAGGGGGCCAGCGUUGCUCGGAAUUACUGGGCGUAAAGGGUCCGUAGGCGGUGUGGCAAGUCGGAAGUGAAAUCUCUCGGCUUAACUGAGAGGCUGCUUCCGAAACUGCUGUGCUAGAGUGCGAGAGAGGCGAGUGGAAUUGCGGGUGUAGCGGUGAAAUGCGUAGAUAUCCGCAGGAACAUCCGAGGCGAAAGCGGCUCGCUGGAUCGCAACUGACGCUGAGGGACGAAAGCUAGGGGAGCAAACAGG
rnacentral:rRNA from 1 species